rnacentral:rRNA from 1 species
ACGGGUGAGUAACACGUAGGCAUCCUGCCCUCAAGUUUGGGACAACUACCGGAAACGGUAGCUAAUACCGAAUAGUUGUUUCCUUCGCCUGAAGGAAACUGGAAAGACGGAGCAAUCUGUCACUUGGGGAUGGGCCUGCGGCGCAUUAGCUAGUUGGUGGGGUAACGGCUCACCAAGGCGACGAUGCGUAGCCGACCUGAGAGGGUGAUCGGCCACACUGGGACUGAGACACGGCCCAGACUCCUACGGGAGGCAGCAGUAGGGAAUCUUCCGCAAUGGGCGAAAGCCUGACGGAGCAAUGCCGCGUGAGUGAUGAAGGUUUUCGGAUCGUAAAGCUCUGUUGCCAGGGAAGAACGCUUGGGAGAGUAACUGCUCUCAAGGUGACGGUACCUGAGAAGAAAGCCCCGGCUAACUACGUGCCAGCAGCCGCGGUAAUACGUAGGGGGCAAGCGUUGUCCGGAAUUAUUGGGCGUAAAGCGCGCGCAGGCGGUCAUUUAAGUCUGGUGUUUAAUCCCGGGGCUCAACCCCGGAUCGCACUGGAAACUGGGUGACUUGAGUGCAGAAGAGGAGAGUGGAAUU